CAGUAGCCGCGGUAAUACGAAGGGGGCUAGCGUUGUUCGGAUUAACUGGGCGUAAAGGGUGCGUAGGCGGGGUUUUAAGUCAGGGGUGAAAUGCCGAGGCUCAACUUCGGAACUGCCUUUGAUACUGGAACUCUUGAGUCCGGGAGAGGUGAGUGGAACUGCGAGUGUAAAGGCGAAAUUCGUAGAUAUUCGCAAGAACACCAGUGGCGAAGGCGGCUCACUGGCCCGGUACUGACACUGAGGCACGAAAGCGUGGGGAGCAAACAGGAUUAGAUACCCGUGUAGUCCCUGUCUCUUAUAC
rnacentral:rRNA from 1 species